UGCAAAUGAUGUGAAAGAGUAUUUCUUAUCUUAAUAACCUUGCUGACCUUUCCCACCAAGACCACUGAUGAA